rnacentral:rRNA from 1 species
UACGGGGGGAGCAAGCGUUGUUCGGAAUUACUGGGCGUAAAGCGCACGUAGGCGGCUUUCUAAGUCGGGGGUGAAAUCCUGGAGCUCAACUCCAGAACUGCCUUCGAUACUGGAAAGCUCGAGUCCGGGAGAGGUGAGUGGAACUGCGAGUGUAGAGGUGAAAUUCGUAGAUAUUCGCAAGAACACCAGUGGCGAAGGCGGCUCACUGGCCCGGUACUGACGCUGAGAUGCGAAAGCGUGGGGAGCAAACAGGG